rnacentral:tRNA from 1 species
GAGCGUUUAGCUCAGCGGGAGAGCGUUUCCUUCACACGGAAAAGGUCAUUGGUUCAAUCCCAAUAACGCUCACCA